GACGAACGUUGGCGGCGUGCUUAAUACAUGCAAGUCAGCUGAAGCAGUGGUAGCAAUAUCGCUGUGGAGGUGGCGCACGGGUGAGUAACACGUAGGUAAUCUGCCUUCAGGUCUGGCAUAACUCCGGGAAACCGGGGCUAAUAGCAGAUGAUGCAGCGGCUCGACAUCGAGACAGUUGUUAAAGCUAUGGCGCCUGAAGAUGAGCCUGCGUCUGAUUAGCUAGUUGGCGGGGUAACGGCCCACCAAGGCAACGAUCAGUAGCUGGUCUGAGAGGAUGAUCAGCAACACUGGAACUGAGACACGGUCCAGACUCCUACGGGAGGCAGCAGUAAGGAAUAUUGCUCAAUGGGAGAAAUCCUGAAGCAGCAACGCCGCGUGAGGGACGAAGGGCUUUUGCUUGUAAACCUCUGUAGUGAGAGAAAAAAAUCCCAAUCUUUGGGACAUGAUGGUAUCUCAAAAGUAAGCCCCGGCUAACUACGUG
rnacentral:rRNA from 1 species